UACGUAGGGUGCAAGCGUUAAUCGGAAUUACUGGGCGUAAAGCGUGCGCAGGCGGUUGUGCAAGGCCGAUGUGAAAUCCCCGGGCUUAACCUGGGAACUGCGUUUGAAACUACAAGGCUAGAGUGUGGCAGAGGGGGGUGGAAUUCCACGUGUAGCAGUGAAAUGCGUAGAGAUGUGGAGGAACACCGAUGGCGAAGGCAGCCCCCUGGGUUAACACUGACGCUCAGGCACGAAAGCGUGGGGAGCAAACAGG
rnacentral:rRNA from 1 species